rnacentral:rRNA from 1 species
AAAAGAAAUCAACCGAGAUUCCCCCAGUAGCGGCGAGCGAACGGGGAGCAGCCCAGAGCCUGAAUCAGUGUGUGUGUUAGUGGAAGCGUCUGGAAAGGCGCGCGAUACAGGGUGACAGCCCCGUACACAAAAAUGCACAUGCUGUGAGCUCGAUGAGUAGGGCGGGACACGUGGUAUCCUGUCUGAAUAUGGGGGGACCAUCCUCCAAGGCUAAAUACUCCUGACUGACCGAUAGUGAACCAGUACCGUGAGGGAAAGGCGAAAAGAACCCCGGCGAGGGGAGUGAAAAAGAACCUGAAACCGUGUACGUACAAGCAGUGGGAGCACAGAGCAAUCUGUGUGACUGCGUACCUUUUGUAUAAUGGGUCAGCGACUUAUAUUCUGUAGCAAGGUUAACCGAAUAGGGGAGCCGAAGGGAAACCGAGUCUUAACUGGGCGUUAAGUUGCAGGGUAUAGACCCGAAACCCGGUGAUCUAGCCAUGGGCAGGUUGAAGGUUGGGUAACACUAACUGGAGGACCGAACCGACUAAUGUUGAAAAAUUAGCGGAUGACUUGUGGCUGGGGGUGAAAGGCCAAUCAAACCGGGAGAUAGCUGGUUCUCCCCGAAAGCUAUUUAGGUAGCGCCUCGUGAAUUCAUCUCCGGGGGUAGAGCACUGUUUCGGCAAGGGGGUCAUCCCGACUUACCAACCCGAUGCAAACUGCGAAUACCGGAGAAUGUUAUCACGGGAGACACACGGCGGGUGCUAACGUCCGUCGUGAAGAGGGAAACAACCCAGACCGCCAGCUAAGGUCCCAAAGUCAUGGUUAAGUGGGAAACGAUGUGGGAAGGCCCAGACAGCCAGGAUGUUGGCUUAGAAGCAGCCAUCAUUUAAAGAAAGCGUAAUAGCUCACUGGUCGAGUCGGCCUGCGCGGAAGAUGUAACGGGGCUAAACCAUG